GACGAACGCUGGCGGCGUGCUUAACACAUGCAAGUCGAACGGAAAGGCCCUGCUUUUGUGGGGUGCUCGAGUGGCGAACGGGUGAGUAACACGUGAGUCACCUGCCCUUGACUUUGGGAUAACUUCAGGAAACUGAUGCUAAUACCGGAUAGGAGCUCCUGCUGCAUGGUGGGGGUUGGAACGUUUCGGCGGUUGGGGAUGGACUCGCGGCUUAUCAGCUUGUUGGUGGGGUAGUGGCUUACCAAGGCUUUGAAGGGUAGCCGGCAUGAGAGGGUGACCGGCGACAUGGGGACUGAGAUACGGACCAGACUCCUACGGGAGGCAGCAGUGGGGAGUAUUGCACAAUGGGCGGAAGCCUGAUGCAGCAACGCCGCGUGCGGGAUGACGGCCUUCGGGGUGUAAACCGCUGUCGCCUGUGACGAAGCGUGAGUGACGGUAAUGGGUAAAGAAGCACCGGCUAACUACGUG
rnacentral:rRNA from 1 species